CCACUAUUUACAACUGAAUAUGAGUAUAUAGUAAAAAAAAAAAAGGUUUCUGUUGUUUUUACCUUAGCUUGUUAUUUAUGCAGCAGUUCCAGGUAAAACUAAUGAACAAGUAAAAUGUGCGCCAGGAAACAUGAGUACAUUGGAGGCACCAAAUACCAUUGCAUACAAACAUACAUACAUGCAUAUGAACAUGCAGGAAUAUACCUAUGCUCAGCGUAGGCAGACGCCUAAAUAAGUAGGCAGAUUGACUGCCGCUCGAGCGGCUUUCUGAUUAAAAAGGAAUAUUAGAAGAGAACUGGAUAUUUAAGUGAACGGAGGGCACGUAAAUGACAGCGGCGUAUAGCGGAGGCAGGAACUUGAGAACCCAAGCAGAAGAAGCUAGCAAACUUCUUACCGUUGGUCUGGCGCAUUCUAAAACCGGUAACAAAACAAUUUGAGGGGAAAAAAAUGAAAAGCCAAGCAAGCAAAAUGUAA